ACUCUAGUGGCCUAGUGAUUAGAGCAUCCACCUCAGAUGGGGAGGUCGCGGGUUUGAACCCCGGUCGAGUC